rnacentral:lncRNA from 1 species
CACAUCAAUAAAGUUUCUUCUUUCUUUCUUUCUCUGCUUUUAAAGUUUCUUUUUCUCUUAUUAAGGGAGUCUAAGCAGAACUCAGGAAGCUAGCUCCCUUGGAGUUUAAUUUACAGAAGGUACGUACAUGCAGCAGGCCCACAGGCCACCAGAGGGCAGAGGGCUUCUGUAACAGUUCUGGCCUCUGGCAGACCCCCGCGGUGUCUGCUUCUCACUUGCUCCCAAGGGGUGGGAACACAGCUCCCCCACUUUGGAGGUCAGAUUCUAGCUCCAGCUGUGCCCGCACACCUGGAUCUGGCCACAGUCUCCACCUCUCGCUUCUAACCUCUGCAUCGCUAAUACUGCUCUGGGGUCUGAGGAAAAUCCCUGCCUCUGCAGGCAGAGGUCACACAUAAGGCACUCUACUCACACACCACACCCUAGGAAUGCUCUGCACACAGCCACAAAUCCAGUAGCACACAGAUCAUUCACUUGGACUCUUAACGUGACAGCACGGACACACACACACACACACACACACACACACACACACACACACACACACACACAGAGGAUGACCUACACACAAUGGUGGGAGGCACUCAACCAGUGGAGCUCUCCUGAUGAACAGAAGGAUUGGAGGUCAAAGUAGAGCAGUCAGUAGGGUGGGAAGUAUCUUCCUAAAGAAAUGCAGGCAUUUAAGGGGGUUUCCCCUAAGAAGAGCCGAAGUUCCCCCAUGGAAGCAGAAGAAGCCAGGCCUCGGGGAGGGAGGCAGGCCUGGGUCAGACCAGGUGCCCUCGCCCGUUGAUGUAGAUACCAUUGCCUGUAGGUUUGGCCCUCAGGGUCCCAUUUUCCUGCACAAAAUGGUUCAUGGCCUGUUUGAUGCCUUCAUCCUGAUCGUCGUCCUCCUCUGUCCUCCCAGAGCCUGGAGAUAGCAGUUCGGUCUGUGUCUCGAUCUCUCUCACUGUGGUUAACGUGGAGUAGCUGCGGCCUUCUGGCUCUUCACUCUGGAGACCAUGGGCAGAAGAGAGGGUCCGAGUGGUGAGAGUGCAGCCUCCUGAUGGAGUUCUCCCUGGUCAAAGUCAGCUCCUCCUCACUGGGAAAGACAACCCCUUGUCAGGAGUGGACAGCAGUGACAGCCUCCUGAAGUGAGUCUAGCCUUGGCUGAGCCUGUGUGAGACCGCUGAAGGGUAUGAUUGCCAAACUACACCCUCGAAGGUGAGCAUAUGUCACUGUAGAUGACAGUGUGGCUGGGUGGCUUGAGUUGCUACGUAGCGCUAAAGUGUGCAUGGUAGGUGAUGCCUGGGGAGUGUGGAUCUGUGCUUCUCUUAGGCAGACAUCUCAGCCGGCUGUGCUCCAGGUGCCAGGCCUUUCUCACUUCCCCCAAAGACUCUGCCCACCUCACGAGACCACACGGCCUCCUUUCUCCUCUGCUCUGGCUCACCUCCUGCUUCAUUCCUCUUUGUUCUCAGCUCAGGGCCACCCACUCAGAGGAGCCAGGACUCACUAUUUCUGGGUCAUCUGCUGGGCUUUGCGGCGAUGAUAUCGGGACAUGAGCACCACCACCACCACCAGGAGGCAGAACAGGAGAGCAGCGAUCACGCCCACUAUGAUCACUGAGGCGGACACCAGGUCCACCUGCUUUCCUGGAUCUUCGGGGUCUGUUGGAGACAGGCCAGUGUCUGAGAUACACGCCCAAAUCCUUCCCUGAUCCUCCCCAGACCCCAUUGCUACCCCACGUAUCCUCAUCAUGGGACAGACACAUCCACAGCUACCCACUCAGCUUAAUCCUUUCCAAAACAUAUCAUCCAUCCCAAAGACAUCAUUUCCCAUUCCUUUCUCCUUCUCCCAACCCCACCCCCCACCCCCCACCCCUCAGCUCUGGACUCAGAAUCCCUGUCUUUGUUCUCCAGCCACUGGGCUUACCAAGAACUUCCACAGUGACCUGAGAAUCCCUCGAAGAAAGCUCAUUGCUGACGUGACAGACGUAGACGCCACUGUGCUCAGUAGUCAGUGGGGGAAAGCCCAGAGUGUCUCCUUUCACUCGUACCCCACUAGGCAGAGGUCCAUCCAACCUGAAGGACAGGGAAGCUGAAGGGUGCUGGCUGGGGCAGGCUAAGGCUGCCACCACCCAACGUGCCCAGGCAGCUCUUCAUCCCCCUCCCCCAUGACGUCACCCAGAGCCUCAGGCUGUUCCCACGGUGCCCCUCCCUACCCCAGACAGGUCUAGGCAGAGGCCCUUUCUCCCUGCCGCCCAGCCUGACCCGGGCACCCCCACACACACUUGGGGGAAGAUCCGCACGCAUGCCAUCCCACAUGAUUCUACAGGCAUCCCGGUCAUCCAGCACCAGGUAACAGGUAUACAUGAUAUAAAGUGCACACAACAGGACAGUCCCACUCCUAGCUGGGCUUGGAGGUACUGGGAACCUGUGACUUCGUGCUCCAACACCUAUGAUAUUGCAUGGUGGAGUAAACAAACCUAGCCCCAGGCACAAGGCCAUUGGUAUCGUUCAUGUGUCCACAUGUAAGAACACGCCUGUCAUAGGUUCAUACACAUGGUUAUCCUACCCCUUUCUGAAAAGAAGGGCAAGGACUCUUGAAGGAGCUGCUGGAAGUGGGUCAGUGUUUCUGUGCUGCUGGCAACAUUAUGGUUAUAACGAGC